rnacentral:tRNA from 1 species
AGGGGAGUAGCUCCAAUGGUUAGAGCACUGGAUUCCAAAUCCAGGUGUUGUGGGUUCGAGUCCCUCCUUCCCUGCCA